GGUUAUUUGCUUGGGUUCGGAGGGUGGGCAAGGAAUCUCUGUGUUUAGGAGUCUGUGUUAGCAAUGGCUCAGGCUGUGGGGAGAGGGCCUCAGUUUGUGAAGGAGGGUCUGCGAUGGUGCCCUGUUUCUCAGGAUAAUGUGGAAGGUCUCAGGGUUCAGAGUCUCACGUUGUGAAUGUAAAGUCAGAUAUUUCAGAUUGGGGCUGGCUCUCAGUUCACUGUUGGGUGUCAGCAGAUCAGGGCAAUGUGGGCAUGAGGGGCUGAGUCUGGAUGGGAGUGAGGGUCUCUAGCAUUUCCUCUGAUUUUCUGACAGUCUGUCGACACUCACUGAACAUUCCUUGUUUCACAGGAGGAGUGAAGAGCAACUACAAUUGCACAAACACUUCUGACGAAAGGUCACCUUCUCACAGUUCAACCAUACCUGAGUUGCCUCAGUGACACAGUGUCCUUGUACCACAUUCACUUUUGGAUUCUGAAGCAUUUCAACUCAAUGAACACUAUUUCUUACCAGUGUUUGCAAUUUAUUCUCUGUUACAUUUUGCUGCAGUGUUUUUUCAAGCUAAUUACUAAACUGUAUUAUCAACCCGUGACAAUAUGACUAUUAUUCCAGGUAGAAAUCUCAUCUCUACCUGAUGCCCCAGUGAUUAUGUCACAGGCCCCAGGAAGUCAACCAUGUAGUUAAAGUGACAAGAACAUGUGUGAUUCCUUCUCCAGCUGUUCAGCAGGAUAAUCCCAGACCUCACAGAAAAUAUCUCUGCGUUUGAUAAAGUGCCAUGCCAAGACUUGUUGCAAAAAUGAAAAACUCAUUGUGUAGGCAGCAUCAUUCAAUUUGAGAAUGAAAAAUAAUGAGCCAAAGAUUUGUUUCCCGAAUAAAAACUGAAAGAACUAUGGAUGCUGCAAAUCAGGAAUAAAAACAGAAGUUCCUGGAAACGCUCAGCAGCUCUGCAGCAGAAGAAAAAAUCAGAAACAACUCUGAUUUGUUUCCCAAAGUCAAUCAUGACUAAAGAACAAAUGCGUGUGCGUGUGUGUGUGAAC